GUGCUCACAGUGGCAGUACAUAUACUAAAAUUGGAAUGGUACAGAGAAGAUCAGCAGGCCCCCAUGCAAGGAUGACACACAAAUUCAUGAAGUGUUCCAUAUUUUU
ensembl:snRNA U6 U6 spliceosomal RNA